rnacentral:tRNA from 1 species
GGGCCUGUAGCUCAAUUGGUAGAGCACCGCCUUUGCAAGGCGGGGGUCAGGGGUUCGAUUCCCCUCAGGUCCACCC